rnacentral:rRNA from 1 species
AACGGCCGUACCAUGCUGAAUAUACCGGUUCUCGUUAGAUCACCGAAGUCAAGCAUCAUUGGGCGUGGUCAGUACUUGGGUGGGUGACCACCUGGGAACACUGCGUGCCGUU